ACGAACGCUGGCGGCGCGCCUAACACAUGCAAGUCGAACGAGCGAGAGAGAGCUUGCUUUCUCAAGCGAGUGGCGAACGGGUGAGUAACGCGUGAGGAACCUGCCUCAAAGAGGGGGACAACAGUUGGAAACGACUGCUAAUACCGCAUAAGCCCACGACCCGGCAUCGGGUAGAGGGAAAAGGAGCAAUCCGCUUUGAGAUGGCCUCGCGUCCGAUUAGCUAGUUGGUGAGGUAAUGGCCCACCAAGGCGACGAUCGGUAGCCGGACUGAGAGGUUGAACGGCCACAUUGGGACUGAGACACGGCCCAGACUCCUACGGGAGGCAGCAGUGGGGAAUAUUGCACAAUGGGGGAAACCCUGAUGCAGCGACGCCGCGUGGAGGAAGAAGGUCUUCGGAUUGUAAACUCCUGUUGUUGAGGAAGAUAAUGACGGUACUCAACAAGGAAGUGACGGCUAACUACGUGCCAGCAGCCGCGGUAAAACGUAGGUCACAAGCGUUGUCCGGAAUUACUGGGUGUAAAGGGAGCGCAGGCGGGAAGACAAGUUGGAAGUGAAAUCCAUGGGCUCAACCCAUGAACUGCUUUCAAAACUGUUUUUCUUGAGUAGUGCAGAGGUAGGCGGAAUUCCCGGUGUAGCGGUGGAAUGCGUAGAUAUCGGGAGGAACACCAGUGGCGAAGGCGGCCUACUGGGCACCAACUGACGCUGAGGCUCGAAAGCAGGGGUAGCAAACAGGAUUAGAUACCCUGGUAGUCCACGCCGUAAACGAUGAGUGCUAAGUGUUGGAGGGUUUCCGCCCUUCAGUGCUGCAGCAAACGCAUUAAGCACUCCGCCUGGGGAGUACGACCGCAAGGUUGAAACUCAAAGGAAUUGACGGGGGCCCGCACAAGCAGUGGAGUAUGUGGUUUAAUUCGACGCAACGCGAAGAACCUUACCAAGUCUUGACAUCCUGCGACGCACAUAGAAAUAUGUGUUUCCUUCGGGACGCAGAGACAGGUGGUGCAUGGUUGUCGUCAGCUCGUGUCGUGAGAUGUUGGGUUAAGUCCCGCAACGAGCGCAACCCCUAUCCUAUGUUACCAGCGGGUAAUGCCGGGGACUCAUAGGAGACUGCCAAGGACAACUUGGAGGAAGGCGGGGAUGACGUCAAGUCAUCAUGCCCCUUAUGUCUUGGGCUACACACGUACUACAAUGGCGUUAAACAAAGAGAAGCAAGACCGCGAGGUGGAGCAAAACUCAGAAACAACGUCCCAGUUCGGACUGCAGGCUGCAACUCGCCUGCAUGAAGCCGGAAUCGCUAGUAAUCGCAGGUCAGCAUACUGCGGUGAAUACGUUCCCGGGCCUUGUACACACCGCCCGUCACACCACGAAAGUCAUUCACACCCGAAGCCGGUAAGGUAACCGCAAGGAGCCAGCCGUCGAAGGUGGGGCCGAUGAUUGGGGUG
rnacentral:rRNA from 1 species